UAAAGAUUCAUCGCUGAUAGAUAGGCAUGCGUUCCAUUAGGCAGUUGGCGGGGUAACGGCCCACCAAACCGACGAUGGAUAGGGGUUCUGAGAGGAAGGUCCCCCACAUUGGUACUGAGACACGGACCAAACUCCUACGGGAGGCAGCAGUGAGGAAUAUUGGUCAAUGGGCGUAAGCCUGAACCAGCCAAGUCGCGUGAGGGAUGAAGGUUCUAUGGAUCGUAAACCUCUUUUAUAAGGGAAUAAAGUGCGGGACGUGUCCCGUUUUGUAUGUACCUUAUGAAUAAGGAUCGGCUAACUCCGUGCCAGCAGCCGCGGUAAUACGGAGGAUCCGAGCGUUAUCCGGAUUUAUUGGGUUUAAAGGGUGCGUAGGCGGCCUUUUAAGUCAGCGGUGAAAGUCUGUGGCUCAACCAUAGAAUUGCCGUUGAAACUGGGAGGCUUGAGUAUGUUUGAGGCAGGCGGAAUGCGUGGUGUAGCGGUGAAAUGCUUAGAUAUCACGCAGAACCCCGAUUGCGAAGGCAGCCUGCCAAGCCAUGACUGACGCUGAUGCACGAAAGCGUGGGGAUCAAACAGGAUUAGAUACCCUGGUAGUCCACGCAGUAAACGAUGAUCACUAGCUGUUUGCGAUACAGUGUAAGCGGC
rnacentral:rRNA from 1 species